AGUGGAAGCGUCUGGAAAGGCGCGCGAUACAGGGUGACAGCCCCGUACACAAAAGCGCAUGUGCUGUGAGCUCGAUGAGUAGGGCGGGACACGUGGUAUCCUGUCUGAAUAUGGGGGGACCAUCCUCCAAGGCUAAAUACUCCUGACUGACCGAUAGUGAACCAGUACCGUGAGGGAAAGGCGAAAAGAACCCCGGCGAGGGGAGUGAAAAAGAACCUGAAACCGUGUACGUACAAGCAGUGGGAGCACCCUUUGGGGUGUGACUGCGUACCUUUUGUAUAAUGGGUCAGCGACUUAUAUUCUGUAGCAAGGUUAACCGAAUAGGGGAGCCGGAGGGAAACCGAGUCUUAAUUGGGCGUUAAGUUGCAGGGUAUAGACCCGAAACCCGGUGAUCUAGCCAUGGGCAGGUUGAAGGUUGGGUAACACUAACUGGAGGACCGAACCGACUAAUGUUGAAAAAUUAGCGGAUGACCUGUGGCUGGGGGUGAAAGGCCAAUCAAACCGGGAG
rnacentral:rRNA from 1 species